UGCUGCCACUUUUGGAUGGGCCUGCGGUGUAUUAACUUGUUGGUGGGGUAACGGCCUACCAAGGUGAUGAUACGUAGCCGAACUGAGAGGUUGAUCGGCCACAUUGGGACUGAGACACGGCCCAAACUCCUACGGGAGGCAGCAGUAGGGAAUCUUCCACAAUGGACGAAGGUCUGAUGGAGCAACGCCGCGUGAAUGAAGAAGGCCUUCGGGUCGUAAAAUUCUGUUGUCAGAGAAGAACGUGCGUGAGAGUAACUGUUCACGUAUUGACGGUAUCUGACCAGAAAGCCACGGCUAACUACGUGCCAGCAGCCGCGGUAAUACGUAGGUGGCGAGCGUUGUCCGGAUUUAUUGGGCGUAAAGGGAACGCAGGCGGUCUUUUAAGUCUGAUGUGAAAGCCUUCGGCUUAACCGAAGUAGUGCAUUGGAAACUGGAAGACUUGAGUGCAGAAGAGGAGAGUGGAACUCCAUGUGUAGCGGUGAAAUGCGUAGAUAUAUGGAAGAACACCAGUGGCGAAAGCGGCUCUCUGGUCUGUAACUGACGCUGAGGUUCGAAAGCGUGGGUAGCAAACAGGAUUAGAUACCCUGGUAGUCCACGCCGUAAACGAUGAGUGCUAAGUGUUGGAGGGUUUCCGCCCUUCAGUGCUGCAGCUCACG
rnacentral:rRNA from 1 species